UACGGGGGGGGCAAGCGUUGUUCGGAAUUACUGGGCGUAAAGGGCUCGUAGGCGGCCAACUAAGUCAGACGUGAAAUCCCUCGGCUCAACCGCGGGCCUGCAGCCGAUACGGGCAGGCUAGAGUUCGGUAGGGGGAGACUGGAAUUCCUGGUGUAGCGGUGAAAUGCGCAGAUAUCAGGAGGAACACCGGUGGCGAAGGCGGGUCUCUGGGCCGAAUUGACGCUGAGGAGCGAAAGCGUGGGGAGCGAAACAGG
rnacentral:rRNA from 1 species